rnacentral:tRNA from 1 species
GAGGGUAUAGCUCAGUGGUAGAGCACAUGCUUAGCAUGCAUGAGGUCCUGGGUUCAAUUUCAAGUACCUCCA